rnacentral:tRNA from 1 species
UCCCUCAUAGUCCAGUGGCUAAGAUUCUGUGCUCCCAAUGCAGGAGGCCCAGGUUUGAUUCCUGGUCAGGAAC